rnacentral:rRNA from 12 species
AAAUUGAAGAGUUUGAUCAUGGCUCAGAUUGAACGCUGGCGGCAGGCCUAACACAUGCAAGUCGAACGGUAACAGGAAGCAGCUUGCUGCUUCGCUGACGAGUGGCGGACGGGUGAGUAAUGUCUGGGAAACUGCCUGAUGGAGGGGGAUAACUACUGGAAACGGUGG